CGCGUAGGUGGCGUGAUAAGGGUGUGGUGAAAGCCCGGGGCUCAACCCCGGGUCGGCCAUGCCGACUGUCAGGCUCGAGUGCUGUAGGGGCAGGCGGAAUUCCGGGUGUAGCGGUGGAAUGCGUAGAGAUCCGGAGGAAGGACCGGUGGCGAAGGCGGCCUGCUGGGCAGUUACUGACACUGAUGCGCGACAGCGUGGGAGCAAACA
rnacentral:rRNA from 1 species